GUUAUACUAUUAUUGCCGUAAUUUUCCGAAUGGCCAACCCGAUUUUCCAAAUAUGUUAAUUCUACAAAAGUUGGGGGGUUAAUUAUUAACCACACUCCCCCAACACCCCCUCGCUACGGCCCUGUGUCCGAUUGUCUGUUGAGAAUUGAGAGAGUUAAAGUUAAAUGAACCUGUAAAAGUGUAAACCCAAUAGGCCAAUACACAAUAUGCUUUUACUUUUAUAAACGAAUUAAAAAAUUAAAAAGAAUUAAAAACGAAUUACAAACCUAAAAGAAUUAAAAACGAAAAAUAAUGUUUGUAAAAAUUCCAAACGUUCCUUGCAAGCAAGCUAUUUGCAUGACAAGGCACUGCAAACUCUAUUCAGGGGAGAUAAUAGAGUUUCAAAACUUUACAAUUGCUCCAAUAAUAUUGCUUUCUAUUUGAGUGUACUCCUACGUUUAUUUUGUAUCAUCA